rnacentral:rRNA from 1 species
CCUACGGGUGGCUGCAGUGGGGAAUAUUGGACAAUGGGCGAAAGCCUGAUCCAGCCAUGCCGCGUGUGUGAAGAAGGCCUUCGGGUUGUAAAGCACUUUCAGUGGGGAAGAAAGCCUUGGGGCUAAUACCCUCGAGGAAGGACAUCACCCACAGAAGAAGCACCGGCUAACUCCGUGCCAGCAGCCGCGGUAAUACGGAGGGUGCGAGCGUUAAUCGGAAUUACUGGGCGUAAAGCGCGCGUAGGCGGUCUGAUAAGCCGGUUGUGAAAGCCCCGGGCUCAACCUGGGAACGGCAUCCGGAACUGUCAGGCUAGAGUGCAGGAGAGGAAGGUAGAAUUCCCGGUGUAGCGGUGAAAUGCGUAGAGAUCGGGAGGAAUACCAGUGGCGAAGGCGGCCUUCUGGACUGACACUGACGCUGAGGUGCGAAAACGUGGGUAGCAAACAGGAUUAGAUACCCCUGUAGUC